rnacentral:rRNA from 1 species
GACGAACGCUGGCGGCGUGCCUAAUACAUGCAAGUCGAACGCACUCUCGUUCAGAUUGAAGGAGUUUGCUCCUGAUUGAUAAACAUUUGAGUGAGUGGCGGACGGGUGAGUAACACGUGGGUAACCUGCCCUAAAGUGGGGGAUAACAUUUGGAAACAGAUGCUAAUACCGCAUAAAACCUAACACCGCAUGGUGUAGGGUUGAAAGAUGGUUUCGGCUAUCACUUUAGGAUGGACCCGCGGUGCAUUAGUUAGUUGGUGAGGUAAAGGCUCACCAAGACCGUGAUGCAUAGCCGACCUGAGAGGGUAAUCGGCCACACUGGGACUGAGACACGGCCCAGACUCCUACGGGAGGCAGCAGUAGGGAAUCUUCCACAAUGGACGAAAGUCUGAUGGAGCAACGCCGCGUGAGUGAAGAAGGUUUUCGGAUCGUAAAACUCUGUUGUUGGAGAAGAAUGUAUCUGAUAGUAACUGAUCAGGUAGUGACGGUAUCCAACCAGAAAGCCACGGCUAACUACGUG